rnacentral:rRNA from 1 species
AAGGUUAACCGAAUAGGGGAGCCGGAGGGAAACCGAGUCUUAACCGGGCGUUAAGUUGCAGGGUAUAGACCCGAAACCCGGUGAUCUAGCCAUGGGCAGGUUGAAGGUUGGGUAACACUAACUGGAGGACCGAACCGACUAAUGUUGAAAAAUUAGCGGAUGACCUGUGGCUGGGGGUGAAAGGCCAAUCAAACCGGGAGAUAGCUGGUUCUCCCCGAAAGCUAUUUAGGUAGCGCCUCGUGAAUUCAUCUCCGGGGGUAGAGCACUGUUUCGGCUAGGGGGCCAUCCCGGCUUACCAACCCGAUGCAAACUGCGAAUACCGGAGAAUGUUAUCACGGGAGACACACGGCGGGUGCUAACGUCCGUCGUGAAGAGGGAAACAACCCAGACCGCCAGCUAAGGUCCCAAAGUCAUGGUUAAGUGGGAAACGAUGUGGGAAGGCCCAGACAGCCAGGAUGUUGGCUUAGAAGCAGCCAUCAUUUAAAGAAAGCGUAAUAGCUCACUGGUCGAGUCGGCCUGCGCGGAAGAUGUAACGGGGCUAAACCAUGCACCGAAGCUGCGGCAGCGACGCUGAUGCGUUGUUGGGUAGGGGAGCGUUCUGUAAGCCUGCGAAGGUGUGUCGUGAGGCAUGCUGGAGGUAUCAGAAGUGCGAAUGCUGACAUAAGUAACGAUAAAGCGGGUGAAAAGCCCGCUCGCCGGAAGACCAAGGGUUCCUGUCCAACGUUAAUCGGGGCAGGGUGAGUCGACCCCUAAGGCGAGGCCGAAAGGCGUAGUCGAUGGGAAACGGGUUAAUAUUCCCGUACUUGGUGUUACUGCGAAGGGGGGACGGAGAAGGCUAUGUUGGCCGGGCGACGGUUGUCCCGGUUUAAGCGUGUAGGUGUGUGUUCCAGGUAAAUCCGGUUCACUUUAACACUGAGGCGUGAUGACGAGGCACUACGGUGCUGAAGCAACAAAUGCCCUGCUUCCAGGAAAAGCCUCUAAGCAUCAGGUAACAUCAAAUCGUACCCCAAACCGACACAGGUGGUCAGGUAGAGAAUACCAAGGCGCUUGAGAGAACUCGGGUGAAGGAACUAGGCAAAAUGGUGCCGUAACUUCGGGAGAAGGCACGCUGACACGUAGGUGAAGUGAUUUACUCAUGGAGCUGAAGUCAGUCGAAGAUACCAGCUGGCUGCAACUGUUUAUUAAAAACACAGCACUGUGCAAACACGAAAGUGGACGUAUACGGUGUGACGCCUGCCCGGUGCCGGAAGGUUAAUUGAUGGGGUCAGCGCAAGCGAAGCUCCUGAUCGAAGCCCCGGUAAACGGCGGCCGUAACUAUAACGGUCCUAAGGUAGCGAAAUUCCUUGUCGGGUAAGUUCCGACCUGCACGAAUGGCGUAAUGAUGGCCAGGCUGUCUCCACCCGAGACUCAGUGAAAUUGAACUCGCUGUGAAGAUGCAGUGUACCCGCGGCAAGACGGAAAGACCCCGUGAACCUUUACUAUAGCUUGACACUGAACAUUGAGCCUUGAUGUGUAGGAUAGGUGGGAGGCUUUGAAGUGUGGACGCCAGUCUGCAUGGAGCCGGCCUUGAAAUACCACCCUUUAAUGUUUGAUGUUCUAACGUGGACCCGUGAUCCGGGUUGCGGACAGUGUCUGGUGGGUAGUUUGACUGGGGCGGUCUCCUCCUAAAGAGUAACGGAGGAGCACGAAGGUUGGCUAAUCCUGGUCGGACAUCAGGAGGUUAGUGCAAUGGCAUAAGCCAGCUUGACUGCGAGCGUGACGGCGCGAGCAGGUGCGAAAGCAGGUCAUAGUGAUCCGGUGGUUCUGAAUGGAAGGGCCAUCGCUCAACGGAUAAAAGGUACUCCGGGGAUAACAGGCUGAUACCGCCCAAGAGUUCAUAUCGACGGCGGUGUUUGGCACCUCGAUGUCGGCUCAUCACAUCCUGGGGCUGAAGUAGGUCCCAAGGGUAUGGCUGUUCGCCAUUUAAAGUGGUACGCGAGCUGGGUUUAGAACGUCGUGAGACAGUUCGGUCCCUAUCUGCCGUGGGCGCUGGAGAACUGAGGGGGGCUGCUCCUAGUACGAGAGGACCGGAGUGGACGCAUCACUGGUGUUCGGGUUGUCAUGCCAAUGGCACUGCCCGGUAGCUAAAUGCGGAAGAGAUAAGUGCUGAAAGCAUCUAAGCACGAAACUUGCCCCGAGAUGAGUUCUCCCUGAGACUUAGAGUCUCCUGAAGGAACGUUGAAGACGACGACGUUGAUAGGCCGGGUGUGUAAGCGCAGCGAUGCGUUGAGCUAACCGGUACUAAUGAACCGUGAGGCUUAACCUUACAACGCCGAAG